rnacentral:rRNA from 1 species
UACGUAGGGUCCAAGCGUUAUCCGGAAUCACUGGGCGUAAAGCGUGCGUAGGCGGGAGCUUAAGUGCAAUGCGAAAUCUUGUGGCUCAACCAUAUAGACUGUAUUGCAUACUGGGCACCUGGAGGAUGGCAGAGGCUAGUGGAAUUACUGGUGUAGCAGUGAAAGCGUAGAUAUCAGUAGGAACACCAAAUGGCGAAGGCAGCUAGCUGGGCCAUUUCUGACGCUAAGGCACGAAAGCGUGGGGAGCGAACAGGAUAGAU